rnacentral:rRNA from 1 species
UACGAAGGGGGCUAGCGUUGCUCGGAAUCACUGGGCGUAAAGCGCACGUAGGCGGAUUGUUAAGUCAGGGGUGAAAUCCUGGAGCUCAACUCCAGAACUGCCUUUGAUACUGGCGACCUUGAGUCCGGGAGAGGUGAGUGGAACUGCGAGUGUAGAGGUGAAAUUCGUAGAUAUUCGCAAGAACACCAGUGGCGAAGGCGGCUCACUGGCCCGGUACUGACGCUGAGGUGCGAAGGCGUGGGGAGCAAACAGG